rnacentral:rRNA from 1 species
UUUUUCUACGGGAGGCAGCAGUGAGGAAUAUUGGUCAAUGGGCGCGAGCCUGAACCAGCCAAGUCGCGUGAGGGAAGACGGUCCUAUGGAUUGUAAAUCUCUUUUGUCGGGGAGCAAAAGACGCCACGCGUGGCGUUCCGAGAGUACCCGAAGAAAAAGCAUCGGCUAACUCCGUGCCAGCAGCCGCGGUAAUACGGAGGAUGCGAGCGUUAUCCGGAUUUAUUGGGUUUAAAGGGUGCGCAGGCGGCAGAUCAAGUCAGCGGUAAAAUGGAGAGGCUCAACGUCUUCGAGCCGUUGAAACUGGU